AUUGAACGCUGGCGGCGUGCCUAACACAUGCAAGUCGAGCGGUAACAGGUGUAGCAAUACAUGCUGACGAGCGGCGGACGGGUGAGUAACGCUUGGGAAUCUGCCUGUUAGUGGGGGACGAACCCGGGGAAACGUCGGGCGUAAUACCGCAUACGCACUACGGUGGAAAGCCGGGGACCGGCAAGGCCUGGCGCUAACAGAUGAGCCCAAGUCGGAUUAGCUAGUUGGUAGGGAACGGCCUACCAAGGCGACGAUCCGUAACUGGUCUGAGAGGACGACCAGUCACACCGGAACUGAGACACGGUCCGGAC
rnacentral:rRNA from 1 species